rnacentral:rRNA from 1 species
UUUUUCCUACGGGGGGCAGCAGUGGGGAAUAUUGCACAAUGGGGGAAACCCUGAUGCAGCGACGCCGCGUGAGCGAUGAAGUAUUUCGGUAUGUAAAGCUCUAUCAGCAGGGAAGAAAAUGACGGUACCUGACUAAGAAGCCCCGGCUAACUACGUGCCAGCAGCCGCGGUAAUACGUAGGGGGCAAGCGUUAUCCGGAUUUACUGGGUGUAAAGGGAGCGUAGACGGCGAUGCAAGCCAGAUGUGAAAGCCCGGGGCUCAACCCCGGGACUGCAUUUGGAACUGUAUAGCUAGAGCGUCGGAGG